CCUACGGGAGGCAGCAGUGGGGAAUAUUGCACAAUGGGGGAAACCCUGAUGCAGCGACGCCGCGUGAGUGAAGAAGUAUUUCGGUACGUAAAGCUCUAUCAGCAGGGAAGAAAAUGACGGUACCUGACUAAGAAGCCCCGGCUAACUACGUGCCAGCAGCCGCGGUAAUACGUAGGGGGCAAGCGUUAUCCGGAUUUACUGGGUGUAAAGGGAGCGUAGACGGCAGCGCAAGUCUGGAGUGAAAUCCCAUGGCUUAACCAUGGAACUGCUUUGGAAACUGUGCAGCUAGAGUGCAGGAGAGGUAAGCGGAAUGCCUAGUGUAGCGGUGAAAUGCGUAGAUAUUAGGAGGAACACCAGUGGCGAAGGCGGCUUACUGGACUGUAACGGACGUUGAGGCUCGAAAGCGUGGGGAGCAAACAGGAUUAGAUACCCUGGUAGUC
rnacentral:rRNA from 1 species